GUGCUGGCUUCAGCCUCACCUAUAUUAAAAUAGGGGCAAUAUAGAGAAGGUUAUCAUGGCCCCUGUGCAACGAUGACACGCAAAUUCAUGAUGGAUUGAUGGGCUGA
ensembl:snRNA U6 U6 spliceosomal RNA